rnacentral:rRNA from 1 species
AUUGAACGCUGGCGGCAGGCCUAACACAUGCAAGUCGAGCGAGCGGCGGACGGGUGAGUAAUAUAUGGGGACUGCCCGUUAGAGGGGGAUAACUACUGGAAACGGUAGCUAAUACCGCAUACUUCCGGAUAACUCAUAUGGGAUUAGCUAGUAGGUGAGGUAAUGGCUCACCUAGGCGACGAUCCCUAGCUGGUCUGAGAGGAUGAUCAGCCACACUGGAACUGAGACACGGCCCAGACUCCUACGGAGGCAGCAGUGGGGAAUAUUGCACAAUGGGCGCAAGCCUGAUGCAGCCAUGCCGUGUGUAUGAAGAAGGCCCUAGGGUUGUAAAGUACUUUCAGUCGGGAGGCGUUACCGACAGAAGAAGCACCGGCUAACUCCGUGCCAGCAGCCGCGGUAAUUC